rnacentral:rRNA from 1 species
AGAGUUUGAUCCUGGCCUCAGGAUGAACGCUGGCGGCGCUGCCUAACACAUGCAAGUCGAGCGAUUCUCUUCGGAGAAGAGCGGCGGACGGGUGAGUAACGCGUGGGUAACCUGCCCUGUACACACGGAUAACAUACCGAAAGGUAUGCUAAUACGGGAUAACAUAUUUUGAUGGCAUCAUCGAAAUAUCAAAGCUCCGGCGGUACAGGAUGGACCCGCGUCUGAUUAGCUAGUUGGUGAGGUAAUGGCUCACCAAGGCGACGAUCAGUAGCCGACCUGAGAGGGUGAUCGGCCACAUUGGAACUGAGACACGGUCCAAACUCCUACGGGAGGCAGCAGUGGGGAAUAUUGCACAAUGGGCGAAAGCCUGAUGCAGCAACGCCGCGUGAGCGAUGAAGGCCUUCGGGUCGUAAAGCUCUGUCCUCAAGGAAGAUAAUGACGGUACUUGAGGAGGAAGCCCCGGCUAACUACGUGCCAGCAGCCGCGGUAAUACGUAGGGGGCUAGCGUUAUCCGGAAUUACUGGCGUAAAGGGUGCGUAGGUGGUUUUUUAAGUCAGAAGUGAAAGGCUACGGCUCAACCGUAGUAAGCUUUUGAAACUGAGAAACUUGAGUGCAGGAGAGGAGAGUAGAAUUCCUAGUGUAGCGGUGAAAUGCGUAGAUAUUAGGAGGAAUACCAGUUGCGAAGGCGGCUCUCUGGACUGUAACUGACACUGAGGCACGAAAGCGUGGGGAGCAAACAGGAUUAGAUACCCUGGUAGUCCACGCCGUAAACGAUGAGUACUAGGUGUCGGGGGUUACCCCCCUCGGUGCCGCAGCUAACGCAUUAAGUACUCCGCCUGGGAAGUACGCUCGCAAGAGUGAAACUCAAAGGAAUUGACGG